AUUUAACGCUGGCGGCAGGCCUAACACAUGCAAGUCGAGCGAGCGGCGGACGGGUGAGUAAUGUCUGGGAAACUGCCUGAUGGAGGGGGAUAACUACUGGAAACGGUAGCUAAUACCGCAUACCAUCAGAUGUGCCCAGAUGGGAUUAGCUAGUAGGUGGGGUAACGGCUGACCUAGGCGCCGAUCCCUAGCUGGUCUGAGAGGAUGACCAGCCAAACUGGCACGGGGACACGUUCCAGACUCUUACGGGUGGAAUCAGUGGGGAAUAUCGCACAAUGGGAGCAAGCCUGAUGUAGCCAUGCCGCGUGUGUGAAGAAGGCCUCCGGGUUGUAAAGCUCUUUCAGCGGGGAGGCGUUACCCGAAGAAGAAGCACCGGCUAACUCCGUGCCAGCCGCCGCGGUAAUUC
rnacentral:rRNA from 1 species